UGUGGGAAAGAAAAGGUCUUGAGUGGGCAUCAGGAGCACCCAGGCAGGAACAAAGACGAUGUUUAUUGGGAGAGUGAGGGAGGAGGUCAAAGGACCUUUAUUUUCUUUCCUUGAGAGGAAGUAGUAGAAAUUAGAACAAACUGCUAAGGCCAGGAGGCCAAGAGGAGGAGCCUGGAGCUGCUACUUUGGAGGCAAGAGAGGAAAUUUAGAAGAAUUUCAGGGAGUAAUUGCCAAGGCUGUGCGAUUUGCUUCUACCUGCGUCUUUAUCUAGGUAGAAUCUCUGAAUGAGAGAUUGGAAAGAUGUUUCACAUCCAGGAAUAAACAAACAAGAGAUCUCAUGGCCAGACCGAGGUGACCUUAAUCAGUCAACCAGGUGGCGAACUCUGUGAAGACAAGGCCCAUGUUUGUUCCACCUGUGGAUGCCUGGAUAUGAACACCUGGCAGGGAGCCUGAUGCAGCGCAAGCCCUCCACAAAAAUGCCCUAAAGGAGUGGGGAGAACGGCAGGGAGGUUAAGAAGAUGACUAGGCAGAAGCAAAGAGCGAAGGAACAGUGAUGAAGGAAAAGGUGACUCGCGAAAAGAUCUUUGAGGCUGA